GCGAGCAUCGGCCGUGUUGGGGUCGAGAAUCACAGGAGCUGUACAGGGAGAGAUGAGGAGGGGCUAGUGUUACUCUCCAUUCACCUUUUCAGAUUCGGAACCUCAAGUUGCCCAGGUGCUUUGCCAGGUUGACCAGCUCACCUGGACCAAUGCCCUCUGGAUGUUGCCAUAGAGACUGAACCCUGUGAAGGUCACCAGAGGGUCUCUAGCUUGCACCCAAGGUCUUCCCGAAUGACCUCCAGAACCCUCUAAAAAAGGUGUCACAUAGAAACCGUUUCUCCUCCAGGCAGAAGUACUUGGCACUCUCACCAUGCGGUCCGCAGUGCACCCCACCCUCUCCUCCG